CUCCACCUGAGUUGAUGUCAAUCCCAAGGACUUCCAACAAUAAGCUAUUAAAGAUCGACGACAAGUUGAAAGUCAUCAUCACAACACCUCUGAGGUCCACUCCAUCAGCCUCCCUGGAGAUGGGCCGGCCCAGAGUUCAGCAACAUGCCAUAGCCAUUAUCCUCUCUCAAUGCUAGAUCCACACAAAGGGUCGCAUUGUCUCCAUUCACCCCGAGCUCCUUUACGGCAAGGGUCAGGGCUAGGCUCUCCUCAUCCG
rnacentral:lncRNA from 1 species